rnacentral:rRNA from 1 species
CUACGGGGGGCUGCAGUGGGGAAUAUUGGACAAUGGGCAAGAGCCUGAUCCAGCAAUUCUGUGUGGACGAAGAAGGUUUUCGGAUCGUAAAGUCCUUUCAGUUGGGAAGAAUAGAUUGACGGUACCAACAGAAGAAGCAACGGCUAAUUACGUGCCAGCAGCCGCGGUAAGACGUAAGUUGCAAGCGUUAUCCGGAAUCACUGGGCAUAAAGGGCAUCUAGGCGGUUACGUAAGUCAGAAGUGAAAAUUCAGGGCUCAACCCUGUCCUUGCUUUUGAAACUGCGUAACUAGAGUACAGGAGAGGAGGGCGGAACUACAAGUGUAGAGGUGAAAUUCGUAGAUAUUUGUAGGAAUGCCAAUGACGAAGGUAGCUCUCUGGACUGAAACUGACGCUGAAGUGCGAAAGCUAGGGUAGCAAACGGGAUUAGAUACCCUUGUAGUC